UUGUUUUGGCAGCAUAUAUACUAAAAUUGGAAUGACACACAGAAGAUUAGCAGGGGCCCUGUGCUGAGAUGACAUGCAAAUUCAUGAAAUCAUACAUAUUUAA
ensembl:snRNA U6 U6 spliceosomal RNA